rnacentral:rRNA from 1 species
AACGGGGAUUGCCUCAGUAACGGCGAGUGAAGCGGCAACAGCUCAAAUUUGAAAUCUGGCGCCCCCGGCGCCCGAGUUGUAAUUUGCAGAGGAUGCCUCGGUGCGAGGCCGCGCCCAAGUCCCUUGGAACAGGGCGCCUCAGAGGGUGAGAGUCCCGUUGGGCCGCGGCCGACCUCCGUGUGAGGCUCCUUCGACGAGUCGAGUUGUUUGGGAAUGCAGCUCUAAGCGGGAGGUAAAUUUCUCCUAAGGCUAAAUACCGGCCAGAGACCGAUAGCGCACAAGUAGAGUGAUCGAAAGAUGAAAAGCACUUUGGAAAGAGAGUUAAAAAGCACGUGAAAUUGUUGAAAGGGAAGCGCUUGCGGCCAGACUUGCCGCGGCGGUUCGGCCGGGUGCUCCACCCGGCUUACUCCGCCGCGUCGGGCCAGCAUCAGCUUGGGCGGUCGGACAAAGGCCUGGGGAACGUAGCUCCCUCCGGGGAGUGUUAUAGCCCCUCGCGCAAUGCGGCCUGCCCGGGCUGAGGCUCGCGUUCUGCUAGGAUGCUGGCGUAAUGGCCGCAAGCGGCCCGUCUUGAAACACGGACCAAGGAGUCUACCAUCUGUGCGAGUGUUUGGGUGUCAAACCCGUGCGCGUAAUGAAAGUGAACGGAGGCGGGAGCCCCCGGGCGCACCGUCGACCGAUCCUGAUGUCUUCGGAUGGAUUUGAGUAAGAGCACAGCUGGUGGGACCCGAAAGGUGAGCAACCAAUCCUUUUCUUCUACCUUAUAAAUGAAAGCUAACAGAAAUUCCCCAGAUGGUGAACUAUGCGUAAACAGGGCGAAGCCAGAGGAAACUCUGGUGGAGGCUCGCAGCGGUUCUGACGUGCAAAUCGAUCGUCAAAUUCGCGCAUAGGGGCGAAAGACUAAUCGAA